rnacentral:rRNA from 1 species
UACGGAGGGGGCUAGCGUUGUUCGGAAUUAUUGGGCGUAAAGAGCUCGUAGGCGGUUUGUUGCGUCGGCUGUGAAAUCCCGAGGCUCAACCUCGGGUCUGCAGUCGAUACGAGCAAACUAGAGUGUUGCAGGGGAGACUGGAAUUCCUGGUGUAGCGGUGAAAUGCGCAGAUAUCAGGAGGAACACCAGCGGCGAAGGCGGCGCUCUGGGCCGGAACUGACGCUGAGGAGCGAAAGCGUGGGUAGCAAACAGG